rnacentral:lncRNA from 1 species
UUCUGAUAGAAAUGUCUUCAUAUUUUAGUGACAAAAAUUCAAUUUGAGUUUGCAAAGAUUUUGAUGAUAUAUAGUUGAAAAGUUUUAUUUGAAAAUACCUACGAAGAAAAAGUAUAAAUAUUCAUACUAAAAUAGUAUAUGCUUAUGAAUAUAUAUGGUAUUGAACCCAUGACCGUCUACACUCAUGACAAACAUGCUGUAAUGAAAUCAGAACAAAUGGUCUCUAUAAAAGAGCUAUCACAAGGGAGACAACUUAACAUAUAUUUGUUGACAGGAAUUAUGUGAAAAGAUUUGUAAACAGUAUAAGAGUAAAAUUUUAGGUCAUGUGACUAUGGAAGCAUAUUAGCCUUUUAGAAUUUUGUUAUUAUUGUUUAAUGGUUUUGUCUUCAAUAUCAAUAAGUUUACUUUUGAUUUGUUAGUUAAUUUAUUUUGUAGAUUUUAUUUUUACCAACAAAC